rnacentral:rRNA from 1 species
UAUCAUGCAGUCGAGGGGCAGCGCAGGUAACAAUACUGGGCGGCGACCGGCAAACGGGUGCGGAACACGUACGCAACCUUCCUUUCAGCGGGGAAUAGCCCAUAGAAAUGUGGAUUAAUACCCCAUUAGAUCGUGGACCGGCAUCGGUCAGCGAUUAAAGCUCCGGCACUGAGAGAUGGGCGUGCGUCUGAUUAGGUAGUUGGUGAGGUAACGGCUCACCAAGCCGACGAUCAGUAACUGGCGUGAGAGCGCGACCAGUCACACGGGCACUGAGACACGGGCCCGACUCCUACGGGAGGCAGCAGUAAGGAAUAUUGGUCAAUGGACGCAAGUCUGAACCAGCCAUGCCGCGUGGAGGAUGAAGGUCCUCUGGAUUGUAAACUUCUUUUAUCUGGGAAGAAAUGCCAUUUUUCUAAAUGGUUUGACGGUACCAGAUGAAUAAGCACCGGCUAACUCCGUGCCAGCAGCCGCGGUAAUACGGAGGGUGCAAGCGUUAUCCGGAUUCACUGGGUUUAAAGGGUGCGUAGGCGGAAUUGUAAGUCCGUGGUGAAAUCUCCGAGCUUAACUCGGAAACUGCCGUGGAUACUAUAGUUCUUGAAUGUUGUGGAGGUUAGCGGAAUAUGUCAUGUAGCGGUGAAAUGCUUAGAUAUGACAUAGAACACCGAUUGCGAAGGCAGCUGGCUACACAAAUAUUGACGCUGAGGCACGAAAAGCGUGGGGAUCAAACAGGAUUAGAUACCCUGGUAGUCCACGCCCUAAACGAUGAUUACUCGACAUUUGCGAUAUACAGCAAGUGUCUGAGCCGAAAGCAUUAAGUAAUCCACCUGGGAAGUACGACCGCCAAGGUUGAAAACUCAAAGGAAUUGACGGGGGUCCCCACAAGCGGGUGGAGCAUGUGGUUUAAUUCCAAUGAUACGCGGAGGAACCUUACCUGGGCCUAAAAUGCUUGGUUGA